CUUGGCUUCUCGAGGGUUUCAAGAUAAAGCUUCCUUUUAGGUUGGCCGCACCUACUGUUGUGAGUUUUGAGAGAAGAUCAGCCUACACAUUCUCUACCCUCGGUAUUUAUUGGAUACUCAUGGUGGCAAAGUUACAAGCAAGAUCUUUGACCUUUUGUAGAUACUUUAUCAUGUUUGACUCUUGAGCUUGUUACUCUCUCUUAACUUGGCUGACGAUGAGCUAUGAAUCAUUAUGAACCCUGAGGUGCCGAACCCCCAAAUCCUUCGCCAUUCUUAAUCCGAUCACAA
rnacentral:lncRNA from 1 species